rnacentral:rRNA from 1 species
UAGGGAAUCUUCGGCAAUGGACGAAAGUCUGACCGAGCAACGCCGCGUGAGUGAUGAAGGUUUUCGGAUCGUAAAGCUCUGUUGUUAGGGAAGAACAAGUACCGUUCGAAUAGGGCGGUACCUUGACGGUACCUAACCAGAAAGCCACGGCUAACUACGUGCCAGCAGCCGCGGUAAUACGUAGGUGGCAAGCGUUGUCCGGAAUUAUUGGGCGUAAAGCGCGCGCAGGCGGUCUCUUAAGUCUGAUGUGAAAGCCCACGGCUCAACCGUGGAGGGUCAUUGGAAACUGGGGGACUUGAGUACAGAAGAGGAGAGUGGAAUUCCACGUGUAGCGGUGAAAUGCGUAGAUAUGUGGAGGAACACCAGUGGCGAAGGCGGCUCUCUGGUCUGUAACUGACGCUGAGGCGCGAAAGCGUGGGGAGCAAACAGGAUUAGAUACCCUGGUAGUCCACGCCGUAAACGAUGAGUGCUAGGUGUUGGGGGGUACCGACCCUCAGUGCUGACGUU